UACAGAGGGUGCGAGCGUUGUCCGGAAUCACUGGGCGUAAAGGGCGCGUAGGCGGCCUGAUAAGUCGGGAGUGAAAUCCUGUGGCUCAACCACAGGGCUGCCUCCGGGACUGUCGGGCUCGAGCACAGUAGAGGCAGGUGGAAUUCCCGGUGUAGCGGUGGAAUGCGUAGAGAUCGGGAAGAACAUCGGUGGCGAAGGCGGCCUGCUGGGCUGUUGCUGACGCUGAGGCGCGACAGCGUGGGGAGCAAACAGG
rnacentral:rRNA from 1 species